rnacentral:lncRNA from 1 species
CAAAUGAGGGAAACAGGACUGGGCAGAGAGAGAGGUUGAGUUGGGAUGUAGUAGUUUUAAUGGAGACCUCAGCAGUUCCCACAGGGAGCGCUGGAGCUGGGUGGCCCUUCAGAGUUGUCCUGAAUUAAGGACUGGACCCUCAACUCUGAGAGAAGCCAGACUUGGAUUCAUCUCAUGUUUGGCGCUGAGGACUGAUAGCCAGAGAGGAACUCACCUGAGUACCACAGAAGACUCCCAGCAUGAAGCAAUUGUUAGUAUGAGACCAUCUGUUGUUUGAGGGCAGGGAUGAGUCCCGGGCAUCUCUGCGACUAGCACAGGACUGGCAAUGAGCUGAAUGAAGGUAUGAAUGAGCAGCAUAAUUAACAUUCUUAUCGGAGGCCCCAAACUUUCAACUCAUCAUAGCCCAGCUUCUCAUUUCUCAUCCCUGUUUCUGUGAUCAAUUCAUAGCCCACGUCUCUGUCCUCACUGACAUACUUCUCAUCCAGUAACUGGACACCGAAAGCCAGAGAAGUCGGGUAUUCAGAUUCCAAAUCAUUGUGCUGAGGCAAUCCUGCCUUCGGCUGAAGAAAUAGGGAGCGGGGACAAUGCGUCAGGACGGCCUCUUUUUACUCAGCGUGAGCUUUGUUACUCACCCGAGGUGUUCUACCUUGAAUCAUGGCUUUUGUGAGGAAAACCAGGAUCAUGCAGAAGGAUGAAGUGCUAUUUCCUCAGUGGCACCUUCAGUGCUACUGACACUUUCAAGAAUAUGCGUGUCUAUGCAGCAGAAACAGACACCCUGAGAUGCUGGAUUUGAGAUAAUUCACUGAGUUUUAUCAACAUAUGUGAACACACAGAUUUUCAGCUAAUAUUAGAAGUUGAGAUGAGACUGAUUAACGUGACUCCUAGGCAGGCCUCAUCAUAUCUCCUAAAAGAAGUGCAAGCAUCCUAUUUGAAUACAUACCCUGGCCCUCCUCCUUUUUCCCUUGAGUUCCCUCUUGAGGUUAAUAAAACUUGAUGUAUGAGAUGACGUUGAGUGUCCCAGGCCCAAAGAAGUUCAGGAUGAGUACAAACAUGUGCAUACCGUGGUUAGAAGAUAAGAUUGCUUGGAGUUCUUUGCUUCAUUCUGACCACGUGCAGAUCAGCAUAGAUGGUGAGUGAGGAAAAGCUCUUCCUGUGGACACUUCUGAAUAAGUUCUAAUAACUUGACUAAAAUUUAUUCCAGAAAUAAAAUAUUCAGAGUGCUCAAUUAGAAAUAAAAAACUGGGCUCUGGCUUGAGAUGGUGUUGGUGGGUGAGGAUUCAGCAUUGCAGGUAGACUAUGGGACUGAGGGAUCAAGAUCAGGCAUUCCCAUGAGGAGAUACCAAAGUCAAGCCCAGUCAAGAGCUGUCAAUUCAAAGUCCAGGGGGAAACCAAGGUCAAGGACUAUGCACUACAGUCAGCAUCAAUGCCAGCACACAACAGAGAGUAAAGCAAGCGGAGAGCCUUCGGCUGGAAGUAUCUAAAGGCCAGAUGACUGGUGUAAUUUUCAGAAUUUUUUUGGCUGAAAAUUACAGAAAAUCCAACCCAAAAUGACUUAAUCAGGAAGAAAUUUGGUAGAUUACAAAACUGAAAAGUUCAGGGGGUUGGAUUAUUUCCAGGUAUGGUUUGAUACAGAGAUUGAACAAUGUCAGCAGAACCCAGUUUUCUCUGUCUCUUUCAG